UAAAGUACAAGGUGAAAGAGGCCCCGGGUGCCUGAGUGAGCUUAGUGAAACCCCCCCCGGGGCCCACGAGUGGCCUUGGGGCUCUGAAGGGGCCCAGAGGAUUGGGCCAACAGCCCGGCGGGUCCCGAGGGAAAACGAGACGAGAUGUUUUGUUGCUGUUGUUUUAAGACAGUUCUUCAAAAAAAAAUGACAGCCCCACUCGCAAAUGGAAAAAAAGACAGCUGGACGAAUAAUACAUCAUUUCAAACUGAACAGCUAAAGCAGCUGCUGUGAAAUCAAGUCAUCCUCUGCUAUGGGGUUCUCAGUAUCAGAACUGGGCCCAAAAAAUAAUAAAUAAAAUAUGUAAGACCUAGAGAAAAUUAAGUUCUUAAAACAUUAUCCUGUGAGCUAGGAGCAUUUCAGCUAUGCCAGAGGCAAACCAGCGCUGAGGUACCACUUCAGCAGCUACAAUUCACACUGAAGUGCCACAUCACACAUUUCACCACACUUGACAAAGCACCCAUUGCUGUCAAAUUUUAAAUCAGCAAGGUCAGGGAACACUAUCUUGUCCCACCUACCUAAGGCAGUGUUCUCUACAACCUGAAAUUCCUUAAGGACCUCAGGAAUUUCCUCUUUGUUCUAACUCUGAAGCAGUUGCAUUGUUACUGCUGUUGAUUGAGCUGAUCCCUUGCUGGAAUACAUCUUUAACACGAGGCCUCUCCAUUUCACCUAAUUCUGUGCACAGAAUCCAAGAUGUGUAUUAACUUCUGGAGUGGACUUGAGCAGCCUUUCAGGGGGCGGUCUUCCCUGCAAGGAAUUAACACACAACUCCCAGUUAAGCAGAGAUUCACACACUUGAUAUCCUGCAAUAUGCAAAUUGACAAACGCAUGAAAAUAAAUAUAUUGAAAUGAACCUUACCAUAAAAGUAAACAGAGUUGUGGGAGAGGAUAGAAUAACUUACAUCAACACACAUUUCAGCUCUGCACAUUUCAGAACUGCACCUACUGACAUUGGAUAAGAAAUGCUUAAUGGGCCAAAUCAAAAGAAAAUAGGUAGAACAAUAAGAAGAAAAAUAGGAGUUAUGGGAAGUGAAAUAUCAGAUAUAAAUUUUUAAAUGAAAGACUAUAUCUUCUUUACUAUAAUUAUAGCAAACUCUGCUUCUGGCACUAAAUAAAAAUAAAAUAAAAAUAAAAAUAAAAAUAAAAAUAAAAAUAA